rnacentral:rRNA from 1 species
UACGUAGGGAGCAAGCGUUGUCCGGAUUCACUGGGUGUAAAGGGUGCGCAGGCGGACUUUCAAGUCAGAGGUGAAAUCUCACGGCUUAACCGUGAAACUGCCUUUGAUACUGUAAGUCUUGAGUUAGAGAGAGGUUGAUGGAAUUCCAGGUGUAGCGGUGAAAUGCGUAGAUAUCUGGAAGAACACCAGUGGCGAAGGCGG